CAAGCAAAACCCGAUGGGUCCCCGUUGCCAUCUUGAAUCACGCCGCCGUUCAUUUCCCCAAUCCCCUCUCCCCCCUGCGAGUUUUCCCAUCUCCGCGACCCACGAGCGCCGCCGCCCCCCACUGCUCCGCCAUCACCUGGUCUUGCGCGCCGGUUCGCUCGACGGGCUCCUCGCGGACGGGACGAGCUGCGGCGGCGGCAGGAGGGCCGGAGACCAUCGGUGUCGUCCGCAAAUCAAUUUCAGCGCCCGCCACCUGUUCGACGAAAUGGACAAGAAGGCUACCUGCACCCGCGAGGAUCCCUUCCGCGUCCUCCCCGACGACGUGCUCGACCACAUCCUGUCCUUUCUGCUGGGGGAUGAUGCCAUGCAGACCUGCGUGCUCAACACCCAGUGGCGCGACCUCUGGAGGCGCAAAACCAGCCUGCGCUUCAUCCUUGACGAAUGGUCAAGUUACAGCACCCAGCGUUUCAAUCAGUUGGUGAAGCUGAUAAUCCACCUCAGGGGGGACUCACCUCUGACCGACUGCCAGAUCAAUCCCUGUGGUGAUGUGGGCCAUUGCGAUUUCUCACAAACCAAGCUGUUGAUUGAGUACGUUCUAAAGUGCCGGGUUGAGGAUCUCUUAGUUUGCGCCGGUGAAUAUGUUCAUGAUCCAUUGCUGCUUGAAGCACGUCUCAUCUCCCUACACUUGAGGACCAUAGAAUUUGGAAACGUUGAUCUCGUAGAUUCCUCACUAGAUUUCUCGGGCUGCCCAGUAUUACAGGAGCUAAGAUUCCUCACUAGAUUUCUCGGGCUGCCCAGUAUUACAGGAGCUAACAAUAGAAAGUUGCUGCGUUGGCACAAGGAAGAUAUGUUCUAAAUCACUAAAGCAUUUGCGGUUCACUGCGGAUUGUAUGUUCUCUGAUGAAAUCCACAUUGAUAUUGCUGCCCCGCGUCUUAUCUCACUGGAACUAGGUAAUUUUCUGAACUUGUCUCCUUCCUUUGAAGAGAUGCCAUUACUGGAAAAGGCAUCUAUUUUGCUUGGCGAUGAGUGUUGCAAUGUCUGUAAAAGUGACGAGGAGGAUUUUAGUGAUCUUACAUGUGGAUGUGCUAACAAGAAGUGUCUGCUUCUCAACGGAUUGUCCAAUGCUGUUGAUUUGAAAUUGAUUGCUGCGCCUGACUUGCUUAUCUUCAAAAGGGAUUUGGAAUGGCGCCCUAAAUUUGACAAAUUAAAGACUCUGGUACUCAAUGAUUGGUUUACGGCUAUUGACCUAGUUUGCAUUCUCCAACACUCGCCAAAUCUUGAGAAGCUCACUCUUAAGAUCGAUUUCCCUGAGAACUUUUUAGGAGCAACAGGAUCCAGGCAAUCAUUCGUGUGUCCGCCUCAUUUGGUUGUCAACAUUAAAUGUAGAAAAGUUGAUAACGGUGUUCGCAAGAUUUUGGAGGUCUUGAGUACAUGUGGCAUACUUCCUGAGCAGAUUAGCAUCAAGUGCCGCGAUCGCACUUAGAUUGUUCCAUCCACUGAUUGGGACUAAGAUGUGAGCUCGGUCAUGAUGUUCGUCUGCAGAUUUAUAUAUGUUUCUCGUCGUCUGUAAUGGUGCCAUGCGUUGGUGGUUAGCUUGUUACCGUGAUAUUCAGUUUCUCCUUCCCAUCUAUUGUCUCUGCUGGAAAUCUGUUGUUGUGGUUUCUUUUGUGCAACUUUGCACAAAUGGUCUAAAUUUUGUUGAAUUGGGAAUGUGCAACUUAGCAAAAUGAUGUCUGUCAGAACAUUGCUAUAUCUUUUAAUGGAAGUUUGGAAGCGCA